rnacentral:rRNA from 1 species
AUUGAACGCUGGCGGCAGGCCUAACACAUGCAAGUCGAACGGUAGCACAGAGAGCUUGCUCUCGGGUGACGAGUGGCGGACGGGUGAGUAAUGUCUGGGAAACUGCCCGAUGGAGGGGGAUAUCUACUGGAAACGGCAGCUAAUACCGCAUAACGUCGCAAGACCAAAGUGGGGGACCUUCGGGCCUCACACCAUCGGAUGUGCCCAGAUGGGAUUAGCUAGUAGGUGGGGUAAUGGCUCACCUAGGCGACGAUCCCUAGCUGGUCUGAGAGGAUGACCAGCCACACUGGAACUGAGACACGGUCCAGACGCCGACGGGAGGCAGCAGUGGGGAAUAUUGCACAAUGGGCGCAAGCCUGAUGCAGCCAUGCCGCGUGUAUUAAGAAGGCCUUCGGGUUGUAAAGUACUUUCAGCGGGGAGGAAGGCGGUGAAGUUAAUAACUUCACCGAUUGACGUUACCCGCAGAAGAAGCACCGGCUAACUCCGUGCCAGCCGCCGCAGUAA